rnacentral:rRNA from 1 species
UCGAGAAUUUUUCUCAAUGGGCGAAAGCCUGAAGGAGCGACGCCGCGUGGGGGAUGAAUGGCUUCGGCCCGUAAACCCCUGUCAUUUGCGAACAAACCUUUUCAUUUAACACCUGAAAAGCUGAUUGUAGCGAAAGAGGAAGGGACGGCUAACUCUGUGCCAGCAGCCGCGGUAAUACAGAGGUCCCAAGCGUUGUUCGGAUUCACUGGGCGUAAAGGGUGCGUAGGUGGUUGGGUAAGUCUGAUGUGAAAUCUCUGAGCUCAACUCAGAAACUGCAUUGGAUACUAUCCGGCUAGAGAAUCGGAGGGGGGACUGGAAUACUUGGUGUAGCAGUGAAAUGCGUAGAUAUCAAGUGGAACACCAGUGGCGAAGGCGAGUCCCUGGACGAUUUCUGACACUGAGGCACGAAAGCUAGGGGAGCAAACAGG